GCUGGGCGUAGUGGCGGGCGCCUGUAAUCCCAGCUACUCGGGAGGCUGAGGCAGGAGAAUCGCUUGAACCCGGGAGGCGGAGGUUGCAGUGAGGCAAGAUCGCGCUACUGCACUCCAGCCUGGGCAACAGAGUGAGAUUCUGUCUCAA
rnacentral:SRP_RNA from 1 species